rnacentral:rRNA from 1 species
GAGGACUGAGGUGGRGAAGGGUUCCAUGUGAMCAGCAGUUGAACAUGGGUCAGUCGGUCCUAAGGGAUGGGAGAAAUCCGUUCCGAAGCGGGGCCNNNNNNNNNNNNNGUUGGUCCCGCCGCAGACCGAAAGGGAAUCGGGUUAAUAUUCCCGAACCCGGACAUGGAGAUCGACCCCUCACGGGGUCCAGUGCGGUAACGCAAACGAACUCGGAGACGUCGACGGGAGUCCCGGGAAGAGUUGUCUUUUCUUUGUAAGGGCUCGGCUCCCUGGAAUCGGCUCGCCCGGAGAUAGGGAUGCUGUACCCGUAAAGCACCGCGCCUCUUGCGGUGUCCGGAGCGCUCCCGUCGGCCCUUGAAAAUCCGAGCGAGAGGUUGUGAUUUUCGUGCCGGACCGUACCCAUAUCCGCAGCAG